rnacentral:rRNA from 1 species
UACGUAGGGUCCGAGCGUUGUCCGGAAUCAUUGGGCGUAAAGCGCGCGUAGGCGGCCCGGUAAGUCCGCUGUAAAAGUCCAGGGCUCAACCCUGGAAAGCCGGUGGAUACUGUCGGGCUCGAGUCCGGAAGAGGCGAGUGGAAUUCCUGGUGUAGCGGUGAAAUGCGCAGAUAUCAGGAAGAACACCAAUGGCGAAAGCAGCUCUCUGGGACGGUACUGACGCUGAGACGCGAAAGCGUGGGGAGCGAACAGG